CCUAGUGGCUCAGUUGGUAAAGAAUCUGCCUGCAAUGCAGGAGACCUGGGUUCAAUUCCCGGCUGGG
rnacentral:tRNA from 1 species